UGGGGAAUAUUGGACAAUGGGCGCAAGCCUGAUCCAGUCAUGCCGCGUGAGUGAUGAAGGCCCUAGGGUUGUAAAGCUCUUUCACCGGUGAAGAUAAUGACGGUAACCGGAGAAGAAGCCCCGGCUAACUUCGUGCCAGCAGCCGCGGUAAUACGAAGGGGGCUAGCGUUGUUCGGAUUUACUGGGCGUAAAGCGCACGUAGGCGGACUUUUAAGUCAGGGGUGAAAUCCCGGGGCUCAACCCCGGAACUGCCUUUGAUACUGGAAGUCUUGAGUAUGGUAGAGGUGAGUGGAAUUCCGAGUGUAGAGGUGAAAUUCGUAGAUAUUCGGAGGAACACCAGUGGCGAAGGCGGCUCACUGGACCAUUACUGACGCUGAGGUGCGAAAGCGUGGGGAGCAAACAGG
rnacentral:rRNA from 2 species